UAAAGUGAUCAUUAUUUACUCUUUGGGGCAGAAGUCACCUUGGCUAAAUAUAUGUCUCCAGAAGAUCAAUGUCAAGACAAAAAGGACACUGGUGAUAAAAUGUGAGGCAGCCUAGAGUAGUAAAGGGUGGAUCUACCAUUGAUGCCUGAAGUAUGAGGCAAGUGCCUGUGCGAAGACCUGUCUUUCCGGGAGCAGCUCAGAUAAACAGAAGCAUGGCAGAAAAGCUUCUCAGCUUCAGGAUGGAACUUCUACAGCUGGUCCUUAAAGUCUAGCAGCUGGAUUAAAGGAGAAUUUGCACGAGGUAAAACAAAUAGAAACAGCCAGAUGCUGCAAAAGUUAAUCUUGAUUGACUACUUGAAGCGAUUGAGAGGUGCCUGGGAGAUCAGUAAAGCACUUCUCGGUGUGUCUGUGAGGGCAUGUGCAGAGAGGAUUAGCUAACUUACCUUGAAUGUGAGCAGGACCAGACAAGAGGACAGAGGUUCCGAUCAAAUAAAAACGGAAGACAGGAAAGCCAGCCUGCAUACACAAUGGCCACUCUUCCUCAGUGAGACCAUCUACAGCUGCUGUCACCCAGGGACGUCAGCCUCCAGCUUCCUCAGCUGUUCCUGUGGUAUCAUACCAGUGACUCUCCGGGGAGCUUCCAGCCUCAUACUGCGGCUCACACUGGGGCUACAUCAUCAAUCCCCCUGUCUCAGAGAUUUCAGCUUCUUGCCCUGAGCAGCUACUGGCUUCCCUUGAACUCCACUCUGCAGAUGGCCGUCACAAGAUUUUCUAGCCUCUGAUGAUUUGAAACAAUCUAAUAA